rnacentral:rRNA from 1 species
AAUGAACGCUGGCGGCGUGCUUAACACAUGCAAGUCGUGCGCGAAAGUCGACUUCGGUUGACGAGUAGAGCGGCGAACGGGUGAGUAACACGUGGGUAACCUGCCUGGGAGCGGGGGAUAACCUGGGGAAACUCGGGCUAAUACCGCAUACGCUCUAGGUGCUUCGGCACCGUGAGGAAAGCUGGCCUCUACUUGUAAGCUAGCACUCCCAGAGGGACCCGCGCCCGAUUAGCUAGUUGGUGGGGUAACGGCCCACCAAGGCUGCGAUCGGUAGCCGGCCUGAGAGGGCGAUCGGCCACACUGGGACUGAGACACGGCCCAGACUCCUACGGGAGGCAGCAGUGGGGAAUAUUGGACAAUGGGCGCAAGCCUGAUCCAGCAACGCCGCGUGGAGGACGAAGGCCUUCGGGUCGUAAACUCCUGUCAGUUGGGACGAAAAGCUGUCGGCAAAUAGGCGGCAGUCAUGACGGUACCAGCAGAGGAAGCCCCGGCUAACUCCGUG